UCCGCAUCCCCCUGCCCUUUCCAAGAAGAGGCCAGUGGGCGGCUGGAGACCAGGAAUAUUAGGAACAGGUUUCUCUGCGCCGCCCUUAUACGGGUUGAGGAAACCAUGGGUGAUAGACUGUCAGAAGAAAAGGAGAAAGAGAGGGGGCGACUUCGAAAGCCCUCUUGGCGCUGAGAUUUCAGUAGACACCAACACGCCGCCGGGCAUCUUCUGGACACUUAGGAAGUGGGUAUGGGAUUGUAUGGUCUUAAAGGCUUAGCCUCAACCAGAAAGCUACAAGUCAGCGAGAAGCAGGGAGCAGUUUCACCUCCGGGAGCUGCGGUGUUCAUUGAAGCAUCAUUUUAUAAAAGUAGGAGAAAGAGGAGGACGUGGGGGCAGUGAGUCUUGAGGACAGGUUCUGGGACAACCGGCAAAGGAAUAUACCCGCAGCGUCUGGGGGAAGGAGAAGGCUCAGUGUCUGAACCUUUCCACUUGGUCCCUCAGGGCCUCUCCCGGUUCAACGAUCCCUCUAACCUACAGCCACCCGCAAGAACCGCCCUUUCUGCUCGCACCUCUUCGCACGACUCCCGCUCGACCGAGCACGGUGAGGGAACUUCUCUAAGCCCCGCCUCUCCUUGCAACCUGUGUUGGCCUAAACUGCCCGGCAACUGUUUACGUCACACGACCAUGGCCCUCCCAGAAUGGACGAGAUUUACUAGACAACCCCGCCCACUAGGCUGAAAUUACCCUCGGCAGGUGCCACUUCUGAGCCCGGUGAGCUCUGGGGGAAAGGACCCAGGCGGGGCGGGGCAGGUGGUAAACUGAGCUCAGCGCCUGGCGCGCUUGCACUUCCUCUAGUUGCGCUCGCCCUCCAUCUUCCACCUCAGAAAGGCCACCGCUCCGAGCUGCAACUGCUAGUGCUUGGAGGGCGCUGUAUUCCACUCUGACUCAUCCUUGGGGGCGGACGUGGGAGCAUGGGGAAGUGGCGGGGCAACCAUAGGAAACAGAAAACUUAAGGGAGGAUAUGGCAUAUUUAGGACUGUGAAGUGUGCAAAUGCUGGUGAGCCAUUUGGUGCACUGAAAACAGGAGAGACCACAGUUAUAAAACACCACCUUUAUUAUAAAUACCAAGAAUCCAGAGUGUGUUUAUGGGCCAGCAUAUGCCUUUAGUCCUAUUGGAAAGUAUUCUUUCUGUAUGUUCUAAAGUUCUUCUCAUUUUCAGGGUUCUAUCCACAACAAACCUGGCUCUAAACCCAGUUACACUAAGGGGUUAUGAACUCUGUUUUCUUCCAAGAAAUCUGCAUUAUCAAGAGGAGCUUGGAGACGGGGUAACACUCGUGGCAGAAUUUCAGGCAUCCUUCUAGGAUGUCACUCCUCCUAGAAGCAGCUGUCUAUUGUGCAGCUCUGGUAACACCUUUGUUCCCAAAUUCUCCACUACAGAGGGCAGAAAAACAAGGGAGGGAGGUGGCAUGUGCAGGUCUGAGAAGGCUUUCAUUCUGGAGCACCUGACCCGUCAGCAGCCUGCAUCAUGUCCCAGUAGCGUCCGUUCCUCUCCAUGAGCUGCUGGUGGGUUCCUGCUUCACAGAUGGUGCCUCCUUCCAGAAAAAGGAUUUGGUCAGCCUGCUCCACCAAGCUGAGACACUGGGUGAUGAGAAGCACAGACCUAGAGCCCCGCUCAGGGCUUUUGUACAGGAGCUGCUCCACCUGAGAAAAGACACAGACUCUGUCAAGAACCCAGGGAGACACCUGUGUUUCCAGAGCAGGGGCAGAUCUCACCAGGAUCACUGCCACCUCUGCCAACAACCCCAAGGAGCUGAAGAUUCUUGUUCUGAGUGCUCCUCUGUCCAGCCUUUGAUUUGUUAAGGACUGUUUACAUGAGGUGGCGACAGCAGAAUAAAAGUCAGAGUCCUGUGGUGAAACCCAUAAGGGAAGAGUAAAGGGUAUCAAAUAGUCUCUCCUCUCUACCUAUAAACUGGGGAUUUUCUAUUCUAUUUUAAAGAAAUAUAACUUAGUGGUAAAGAGCAUGAGCAUUCAGAUCAGGCAGGCUUGCCUUUGGGUCUACGCUCCGCUAUUCAACAGCUCUAAGACAGUGAGCAGGCUACUCAACCUCUCUUAGCCUCCAUUUUAUCGUCUGUAGAACGAGGAUAACAACACCCAGCUCACAGGCAUUUAUGAUUAGUAAAUGAGUGAGACAGUACAUGGAGAGAGCCUAG
rnacentral:lncRNA from 1 species